AAGUUUUGUUGAAGGAAGACAGUUUCUUGUACCAAUGGGUCGUGGUCAGGGUCAUGUUAUCAUACCAAUAUUUCUCUUCUUUUCAUUUGCACCUUACUACAUCACUUUGGCCGAAUCGAUAGAUCUAGGUGGCACUCUACAAACAAAUGAGAAGGAUGGUACUCUUUCAAGAUCCAAUCCUUUUUAGCUCAAAGGGAGAAUGAAAACUGAUGGAAAAGGCAACACUAAAUCUCAUUAUGCAAUGUGGCACACGGAGCCAGGAAAAUUCUAUGGUCUUCGAGCUGAAAUGAGUAUAUGGGUUCACCUAAUCAAGAAAACUCUCAAGAAUCUGGAUCAGCCACACAGAUCUACUGUCAAGGGGAACACUACAGCUUAAUUGAAGCUGGGUUUCAUGUUUCCCCCUCUUUGUAUCAUAACCGAGACGUUCGAUUCUUUACAUACACGACGAGGGACACCAAAUCUGCAGGCUGCUAUAACUUGCAGUGCCCAGGAUUUGUCCCUACAAGAGGAGCUACGCUAGUGCCUG